CAAUAGCGUAUAUUAAAGUUGUUGCGGUUAAAAAGCUCGUAGUUGGAGUUCUGCCAGGUGCCGCCUGUCCGCCCCAGUGGUGAGUACGUGGCGCGCAUUUGGCCCUUUCAAGGGGAGCGUAUCUGCACUUUAUUGUGUGGUGCGGGAUCCUUGACUUUUACUUUGAGGAAAUAGGAGUGUUCCAAGCAGGCUCUCGUCGUGCACAGCUCAGCAUGGAAUAAUAGCAUUGGACCUCGAUUCUAAGCUGUUGGUUGCCAGAAGCGAGGUAAUGAUGAAGAGGGAUAGUUGGGGGCAUUCGUAUUUAACUGUCAGAGGUGAAAUUCUUGGAUUUGUUAAAAACGGACUACUGCGAAAGCAUCUGCCAUGGAUGUUUUCAUUGA
rnacentral:rRNA from 1 species